rnacentral:tRNA from 1 species
AAGAGAUUAGUUUAACCCAAAACAGCUAUCUUCGAAAUAGCAAAUCUGACUUAUCAGAUCUUUUU